rnacentral:rRNA from 1 species
GGUGACCUGCGGAAGGAUCAUUAACGAGUUAGGGUCUCUCUGGCCCGACCUCCCAACCCUUUGUCUACUUGACCAUCGUUGCUUCGGCGAGCCCGUCCUCACGGACCGCCGGAGGGAUCUUUACUGGCCCUCUGGUCCGCGCUCGUCGGUAGCCCAACCUUUAAAAUCUUUAACUAAACGUGCCUUAAUCUAAGUACAAUUAUUAAAUAAAAGCAAAACUUUCAACAACGGAUCUCUUGGUUCUGGCAUCGAUGAAGAACGCAGCGAAAUGCGAUAAGUAAUGCGAAUUGCAGAAUUCCAGUGAGUCAUCGAAUCUUUGAACGCACAUUGCGCCCUUUGGUAUUCCGAAGGGCAUGCCUGUUCGAGCGUCAUUAUCACCCCUCAAGCCCUCGGCUUGGUGUUGGACGGUUUGGUGGAGGCCCCCUCGGGGGUUCCUGCCCCUCCCAAAGACAAUGACGGCGGCCUCGUUGGACCCCCGGUACACUGAGUUCUUCACGGGACACGUAUCGGACACAUGGGUUUACGGGACACGGUCUGCCUCCCCUCAGGGAGAAUCUUUCUAAGGUUGACCUCGGAUCAGGUAGGGAUACCCGCUGAACUUAAGCAUAUCAAUAAGCGGAGGAAAAGAAACCAACAGGGAUUGCCUCAGUAACGGCGAGUGAAGCGGCAACAGCUCAAAUUUGAAAUCUGGCCUCUUUGGGGUCCGAGU